UGGGGAAUAUUGGACAAUGGGCGCAAGCCUGAUCCAGCAAUGCCGCGUGUGUGAAGAAGGCCUUCGGGUUGUAAAGCACUUUUAUCAGGAGCGAAACGCUGUCGGCUAAUACCCGGCGGAACUGACGGUACCUGAGGAAUAAGCACCGGCUAACUUCGUGCCAGCAGCCGCGGUAAUACGAAGGGUGUAAGCGUUAAUCGGAAUUACUGGGCGUAAAGCGUGCGUAGGCGGUGACUUAAGUCUGCUGUGAAAUCCCCGGGCUCAAACGGGGAAUGGCAGUGGAUACUGGGUCGCUAGAGUGUGAUAGAGGAUGGUGGAAUUCCCGGUGUAGCGGUGAAAUGCGUAGAGAUCGGGAGGAACAUCAGUGCAGAAGGCGGCCAUCUGGAUCAACACUGACGCUGAGGCACGAAAGCGUGGGGAGCAAACA
rnacentral:rRNA from 1 species